rnacentral:tRNA from 1 species
CAAGACAUAGCUAGUUAGUAAGCCACUCUUUUACACAGAGUCAACACCUGUGCAAGUCAGGUUGUCUUGA